rnacentral:rRNA from 1 species
UACGUAGGGUGCAAGCGUUGUCCGGAAUUAUUGGGCGUAAAGAGCUCGUAGGCGGUUUGUCGCGUCUGCUGUGAAAACUCGGGGCUUAACUCCGGGCCUGCAGUGGGUACGGGCAGACUAGAGUGCGGUAGGGGAGACUGGAAUUCCUGGUGUAGCGGUGAAAUGCGCAGAUAUCAGGAGGAACACCGGUGGCGAAGGCGGUUCUCUGGGCCUUACCUGACGCUGAGGAGCGAAAGCAUGGGGAGCAAACAGG